rnacentral:rRNA from 1 species
CCCUUAGAUGUUCUGGGCUGCACGCGCGCUACACUGAAGGAAUCAGCGUGCUAGAAAACCUUGUUUGACAUGGCUAGGUAACCCGUUGAAAAUCUUUCGUGAUUGGGAUCGGGACUUGCAAAUGUGUCCCUUGAACGAGGAAUUCCCAGUAAGUGCGGGUCAUAAGCUCGCGCUGAUUACGUCCCUGCCCUUUGUACACACCGCCCGUCGCUGCCCGGAACUGAGCCGUUUCGAGAAGACUGGGGACUGCGAACUUUGGGCUGGAAAACAGCUUUUUGUUUGUGGAAACCACUUUAAUCGCAGCGGCUUGAACCGGGCAAAAGUCGUAACA